rnacentral:rRNA from 1 species
AUUGAACGCUGGCGGCAUGCUUUACACAUGCAAGUCGAACGGCAGCACGGUCUUCGGCCUGGUGGCGAGUGGCGAACGGGUGAGUAAUAUAUCGGAACGUACCCAGAAGCGGUGGAUAACGUAGCGAAAGAUACGCUAAUACCGCAUACGAUCUAUGGAUGAAAGCAGGGGACCGCAAGGCCUUGUGCCCCUGGAGCGUCCGAUGUCUGAUUAGCUAGUUGGUGAGGUAAAGGCUCACCAAGGCGACGAUCAGUAGCUGGUCUGAGAGGACGACCAGCCACACUGGAACUGAGACACGGUCCAGACUCCUACGGGAGGCAGCAGUGGGGAAUUUUGGACAAUGGGCGCAAGCCUGAUCCAGCAAUGCCGCGUGAGUGAAGAAGGCCUUCGGGUUGUAAAGCUCUUUUGUCAGGGAAGAAACGGUAGAGGCUAAUAUCCUGUGCUAAUGACGGUACCUGAAGAAUAAGCACCGGCUAACUACGUG